AAAUUGAAGAGUUUGAUCAUGGCUCAGAUUGAACGCUGGCGGCAGGCCUAACACAUGCAAGUCGAGCGGUAGCACAGAGAGCUUGCUCUCGGGUGACGAGCGGCGGACGGGUGAGUAAUGUCUGGGAAACUGCCUGAUGGAGGGGGAUAACUACUGGAAACGGUAGCUAAUACCGCAUAAUGUCGCAAGACCAAAGUGGGGGACCUUCGGGCCUCAUGCCAUCAGAUGUGCCCAGAUGGGAUUAGCUAGUAGGUGGGGUAACGGCUCACCUAGGCGACGAUCCCUAGCUGGUCUGAGAGGAUGACCAGCCACACUGGAACUGAGACACGGUCCAGACUCCUACGGGAGGCAGCAGUGGGGAAUAUUGCACAAUGGGCGCAAGCCUGAUGCAGCCAUGCCGCGUGUGUGAAGAAGGCCUUCGGGUUGUAAAGCACUUUCAGCGGGGAGGAAGGCGNAAGGUUAAUAACCUCAUCGAUUGACGUUACCCGCAGAAGAAGCACCGGCUAACUCCGUGCCAGCAGCCGCGGUAAUACGGAGGGUGCAAGCGUUAAUCGGAAUUACUGGGCGUAAAGCGCACGCAGGCGGUCUGUCAAGUCGGAUGUGAAAUCCCCGGGCUCAACCUGGGAACUGCAUUCGAAACUGGCAGGCUAGAGUCUUGUAGAGGGGGGUAGAAUUCCAGGUGUAGCGGUGAAAUGCGUAGAGAUCUGGAGGAAUACCGGUGGCGAAGGCGGCCCCCUGGACAAAGACUGACGCUCAGGUGCGAAAGCGUGGGGAGCAAACAGGAUUAGAUACCCUGGUAGUCCACGCCGUAAACGAUGUCGAUUUGGAGGUUGUGCCCUUGAGGCGUGGCUUCCGGAGCUAACGCGUUAAAUCGACCGCCUGGGGAGUACGGCCGCAAGGUUAAAACUCAAAUGAAUUGACGGGGGCCCGCACAAGCGGUGGAGCAUGUGGUUUAAUUCGAUGCAACGCGAAGAACCUUACCUGGUCUUGACAUCCACAGAACUUUCCAGAGAUGGAUUGGUGCCUUCGGGAACUGUGAGACAGGUGCUGCAUGGCUGUCGUCAGCUCGUGUUGUGAAAUGUUGGGUUAAGUCCCGCAACGAGCGCAACCCUUAUCCUUUGUUGCCAGCGGUCCGGCCGGGAACUCAAAGGAGACUGCCAGUGAUAAACUGGAGGAAGGUGGGGAUGACGUCAAGUCAUCAUGGCCCUUACGACCAGGGCUACACACGUGCUACAAUGGCAUAUACAAAGAGAAGCGACCUCGCGAGAGCAAGCGGACCUCAUAAAGUAUGUCGUAGUCCGGAUUGGAGUCUGCAACUCGACUCCAUGAAGUCGGAAUCGCUAGUAAUCGUAGAUCAGAAUGCUACGGUGAAUACGUUCCCGGGCCUUGUACACACCGCCCGUCACACCAUGGGAGUGGGUUGCAAAAGAAGUAGGUAGCUUAACCUUCGGGAGGGCGCUUACCACUUUGUGAUUCAUGACUGGGGUGAAGUCGUAACAAGGUAACCGUAGGGGAACCUGCGGUUGGAUCACCUCCUUA
rnacentral:rRNA from 1 species